rnacentral:lncRNA from 1 species
AGUCUGGCGUCAUCUAGGUCGCUGCUCAGGGAAAUGCGGAGGCCAGUAGGCUUACGUGUUUACCGCGUAGGGCAAAGCCUUGCCAAAUUCCCGGCCAGCGGAGCGGCGAGGGUGGGGACUCACGGGAAGUUAAACAGCCUCGUCGGCGUCCUCGAGGCUCCAAAACCAGGCUCUAGGCGGGGACGACUGCAGCCGUUAUGGAGGCCACCGCGGCUACGGCCGCGGCUGAGGCCUCCCCAGGUGGAGCGGUGGCCUGGAGGGGAAUCUUGAUCCUGGGCCAGCCACCUGUCAAGAGGAGGCGGAGCGUCAUGCCUCUGGAAGACUGGAUGAAUAUUCUCCAGGAGCCUGACGAAGGCGUGAGUAAUAGGGACGUGCGCCGCCUUGUUGGUGUUGAUCAGUCCACCAAGGAGAAGCAGCUGGUCGCAGUGGCCGUACCUGUAAUCCCAGCGCUUUGGGAGGCCGCGGCGGGAGGAUCGCUUGAGCCCGGGAGUUCGAGACCAGCCUGGGCAACAUAGUGAGAAACCCGUCUCUACCAAAAAGAAAAAAAAAAAAAAAGGAAAAAAAUUAGUGCGGUGUGGUGGCACGCACCUGUAGUCCCAGCUACUCGGGAGGCUGAAGCGGGAGGGUCCCCUAAGUCUAGGAGGUCGAGGCUUCAGUGAGCGGUGAUUGUGCCACUGCACUCCAGCCUGGGCGACAGAGCAAGACCCUGCUUUCCCCUCUUGUCCUCCACUACCCUCAGGAAACCAAGAAAGACCAGCGUGGAGAGUUGGUCGCCCAUCUGCUCUAAGCUGCUGUGUAUUCCCCUGUAAUGUAAACAUCGUGAAGGUGGAGACCCAGUUAACCUUUUAGGUGGAAGGCCAGAUGACAGAGGGCGGCAUCUGACCCGGAAGGCCCUCUGCAACCAGGCCAAAUACAUCUACAGGGAACCAAUGGGAAACAUCUGGGGAGGACAACCCAAAUAAGUAUCAUGCGAGCAAGGGAUGGUUUGAGAACUUUAAAAAUCGCUGCUGUUUUGCAACAUACGAAGUUGAUGGGGAGGAAGGACCCUUAAAUCCUGAGUGGGUAUCGAGUAUUCCAAGCAACUGGAGAGAGGCUUUGUGCCUCAACAGGUCUUCAACGCCAAGGAGAUGACCCAUCUUUUGCAGUGCAUGCCUUCCUACUUUUGGGGCAAAAGACAAAAAUCUGGAAAGCUUAGAGGAAGCUAAGGACAGGAUUUCCCUCAUUUUUUUGUGGCAGUGCCUCAGGUGACAAAAUGAUAAAACCACUGCUGCUUUACAAAGACUCUAACACCCCACUUGUCUUUUAGAGAUAAACGCCUUCCUGUUUUCUUGUAAUCACACCCAGAAUCACCACUGCCACUUUUUGGAUUAGUUUUACAAUUUUUUUAUCCAUCAAAUCCGAAGUCAUUUAACAAAAAAAAUCUGGAAAUCAGAAUGUUGCUAACUGUGGACAGAGGUCCCAAUCACCCAGAUUCAUUAUUCUUUGUUCAUUCUAAUGUUGAUACUGUGUUUCUCCCUCAGGAAGGCCCUAGCUUUCUUCAGCCCUUGGGUCAGGGUAUAACUGAAGCAUUUGAACAUAAUCAAGCAUAUGUUUGACCACUUUGCUGACUGUAUUGAAAAAACCCUCACCUUACUCUGAAAGAAGCAUGGCAACAGUACAAUAUUGCCGAUGCUUUGGUAGUGAUAAAAGAGGUGAUGGGUGAUAUAAAAUCAGCCACUCUUAAGCUUGCUGGAAACUGUGGGAGGAUGUGUGAAUGAUGCAUAUUUCCCUAGAGCUAAUGAAGAAGUUAAAAAAAAUCUUAGUGUCUGCAAAACAGGUGGGUUUAAGAUUUAUUGAUAUUAGGGAAAGUGAAAUUAAUGAGCUACUCAAGUUUCUGUCUUUGGUCAUCACUGAGAGUCUAUUUCCAUAGGAAGAAGUCUUUGCAGAGGAAAUUGAAUGCUGUCUGAUGCUACAAUUCAUAUGGAUCCUUUCCUGGAUUGAAGCCUGACUUUUAAAAAAGGUUUCAAUAAAUUGCUUAUACCUAUGAAGAGAUGCAAAAGAACCUUCAAAAUAAAGCAAAGGACUUGAAGAAAGAGAAGGAAGACAUGAAGAAGAGGAUGUCAUUUAGGUGAAGGUGAUGGAUACAGAAUCUGAGUCUGAGGGGAGCCUGGUUGACAGAGAGACAAAAAAAGAAAUUUUUUUUUUCUGACUAAAAAAAAAAAGGAAAUUUUGUUAACAAAAUCAAGAAUUUAAAAAAAAUGCUGUGAGAGCUGAUCUAUGCAUCUGGUUUGUGAGCCAGUAUUCUGUGAUGGCUGCAGUUUUUAGAGAUCCUAGUAGCUCUACACAUCUGUCUUCUGCUUUCCUAGAACCUGGGCACCCCAUGGAUGACUCACUGCUGGUUUUGUGUGUGUGGCCAUGCUGGAUAAGGAGCUGGCUGCCUCUGUGAACAUCCUACUCAAGGCAUCUUCACUGCUGUACAUCCUUUUGAAAUCCCAGAGAUCUUCAGUCUCCCUGUGGAUUAAGGAGAUGUGCAGUAUUUAAAGUGGCUUCAGGAAGGCAUGGAAGAGGACUGAGUGGGGAAAGCUUUUUGUGCAUGCUGCUGGCUACCUCC